UACGGAGGGUGCGAGCGUUGUCCGGAAUCACUGGGCGUAAAGGGCGCGUAGGCGGCCUGGCAAGUCGAUGGUGAAAGCCCGAGGCUCAACUUCGGGUCGGCCACUGAUACUGCUAGGCUUGAGUCGACUAGAGGCAGAUGGAAUUCCGGGUGUAGCGGUGGAAUGCGUAGAGAUCCGGAAGAACACCGGUGGCGAAGGCGGUCUGCUGGGGUCGAACUGACGCUGAGGCGCGACGAGCGUGGGGAGGCAAACAGG
rnacentral:rRNA from 1 species